rnacentral:rRNA from 1 species
AUUGAACGCUGGCGGCAGGCCUAACACAUGCAAGUCGAACGAGUGGCGGACAGGUGAGUAAUGUCUGGGAAACUGCCUGAUGGAGGGGGAUAACUACUUGAAACGGUAGCUAAUACCGCAUCCCAUCAGAUGUGCCCAGAUGGGUUUGGCUAGUUGGUGGGGUAACGGCUCACCAAGGCGACUAUCCCUAGCUGUUCUGAUAGGCUGACCAGCCACACUGGAACUGAGACACGGUCCAGACUCCUACGGGAGUCAGCAGUGGGAAAUAUUGCACAAUGGGCGCAAGCCUGAUUGAGCCAUGCCGCGUGUAUGAAGAAGGCCUUCGGGUUGUAAAGUACUUUCAGCGGGGAGGCGUUACCCGCAGAAGAAGCACCGGCUAACUCCGUGCCAGCAGCCGCGGUAAUUC